rnacentral:lncRNA from 1 species
CUCACAAAAUUAGGGUUUUUUUCACUCUACGCCGCUUUCUCCUUGAAUUUGAGUUAUAUUUACUUAGAUCUAUGGCAGAUUACCUGAACAUGCUUUAUUUAUUUAUUUAUUUUCGUAAUUUUACAUGAUUAUGGGUAGCACAAGGAUUAAUGUGAAACAGAAAAGUGAUAUGCAAAGAAGAUGGAGAUUCAAUUGUUUAUUGUUACGAAGAAAACACUUUUGUGUUUCUCGUGAAUCCUUCGGCUAUCCAUAAUCAUGUUGAAUGUGUUAUUUGAAAUUUUCUUGUCUUAGUAAAUAAAUAACGCAUGGUUUGAGGUAAAUGCGGAUUCAAUCUUUUGAGUAUGUUCAUAUAUUUGCUUUAGUCAUAUUGUUUGUUAAUUUUUUUUGAAAGAUCUAAUUGCUACUUGUAUUUCUUUUUUUUUUUGGUAAAUGCAAAUGAUCAAUAUUGUAUUGAAAAUAUGCAGGAUUUAGUAAUUUUGACAGGUUGAUGUUCCAACUAGAAGGGAAAGAAGACACUCAGAAGAUGUAUAGUAACAUUAUGUAUUGUAUUUUUAUGUUAUUCUGUAUGUAGCAUUAUCUUGGCGCAAUUGAUCAUGGUUGACAAUAAUAAAAUGGUUUUUUUUAAUAUAUGAUUUGCAUUUUCUUAGUUGUACUGUCUUAUCUAUGUGGUUUAAAAUAAAAUAAAGAUUCUUGUGAAAUGUGCUUUCACUAGCAUUAUGUUUACUGCUGGUCACUACCACUACCACCGUCUGCUUGUUGUUAACGAUCACUUGUGCAGUUUAUUUAUAAUACAAGUAGUAAUGGUACCAAAAGUUCAAUUCUAUAAAUUUAAAAAUCUGCAUCUGUUGUUUAGCUGGCACAAACUGAUACUUGUAAUAUUAGUUUAUUAAUCG